UGAGGGACCACAGCAUGCCCGUGACAA
rnacentral:piRNA from 1 species